GGCGUGUGGCCCGGGAGUGUCCCCGCGCCGAAGUGUGAGCUGGGAGGAGCCAGCCGUGCGCCUCCGGCCCGCCCCGCGGGUUGAGGCGCGCGGUAGUGUGGAGUCCUAUGGACCACACACUCGAUCUGCAGGCUCCUUGCCCAGUGUGGGCCUCGGACUCAGGACCCUGAGAUUGAGAGUCACAUGGUCUACCAACUGAGCCAGCCAGUCUGAGAUGGAGGAGUGGAUGGCCAACUCAGAGACAUGUCAAUCUGCAGUCUACUUGCUAAUGAUGUCAGAAGAUAAGCGAUGAAAACCUCAUUUGGAAAAAAAAAAAAGUUUUGGAAGUUCCACCAAAUGCCCGAUGGAGUCCCCUGACAGAACCAGGUAACAUUCAUCAAUCUCACCAGUGGUGUAAACCUGGGCACAUCUUUUUUUGGCUUCCAGAGAAAUAAGAACAGAUAUAAACCGAAUAUUCCUCAUUUCAGAAAAUAAGGAAGUAUGUCAGCUUGAAGAUGAUUGGUAAGAGGCUUAGAGAGAGAUCACAAGCAGGCAGAGAGAGAGAGAAGGACGCAGGCUCCCCGCUGAGCAGAGAGCCUGAUGCAGGGCUCGAUCCCAGGACCCUGAGAUCAUGACCCGAGCCGAAGGCAGUGGCUUAACCCACUGAGCCACCCAGGCACCCCAAAAUGCAGCAAAUCAUGUCACAGCUACCAUGGACAACAACCCCUUGAAGUCUGUAUAUCUCUCAGACAGCUAAUGGGAGAGAUGGGCCAAAAGACGAACACUUGCAACAUCAUAAGGCAAAGAGCGAGUGAGAAAGAGAGAGAGCACAAGCAGGGCAGAGGAGCAGAAGGAGAGGGAGAAGCAGACCCCCUUGCUGAGAAGGGAGCCUGAUUCUGGACUUGAUCCCAGGACCCCAGGAUCAUGAUUAAGGUUGCCCAAGACCAUUAAAGAGGUUCAUCAUUCUCCCAUACUGUUGUUUCUGUGAUGACAAAUAAAAGAUUCAGUUUAUUAGCAAACUUGAAAAAAAAACUUAUUUCAUUAAAACGACUUUCAUUGUGAUGUUGAUCUGCAAAAGGAAAAUUUUGUUUUCAAAAGUGGCAGGAGAAUUCAACGUGCAUGUCCCAGUAGGUGUGGGUUGAUCAUUACCAUUUGACAUUAGGUCCUGGGAACCUGGGUAGAGGAGGCUACCAGAGGCUACCACAGUAGAACACUUCUCCUGUCAGUGAGCAGUGAUACCACCACCCAUCCACAUUUGCAACCAGAAAACUAGGUGUUACCCUUGAUGCCUCUCUUUCUCACACCACUUUAUAUAAUCCAUCAACUAGGAAGGUCUGCUGAUUUUUACCUCUUAAAUUUCCUUUUUUUUUUUUUUUUUUUUGGAAGAUUUUAUUUAUUUAUUUGAAAGUGAGAACAAAGGAACAGCGUGGGGGAGGGGAGGACAGAGGGAGAAGCAGACUCCCCGCAGGGAGCCCAAAGCGGGACUUGAUCCCAGGAUCAUGACCUGAGCUGAAGGCAGCCACUUAGCUGACUGAGCCACCCAGGCCCCCCUCUUCUUAAAUUCCUUUCAAGUCCACUCACUUCUCUCCUUCUUUUCUACCAUAAUCCUAGUCCAAACUAAUCAUCUCUUCCCUGGGUGACAAUAGGCACUCCUAGCUAGACUCCUCUCUUCCAUUCUAGCUACCUCUAAUUCUUCCUCCAGUUUGGCAGCCACUGUGCAGUUUUUGAAAUGCAAAUCUCAUUUCUCAACCCUUAACCCACUCCCCUUUUAAAGCCUUGCAAUGGUUGCCUUUUGCCCUUCCUCUAAGAUCUGUAAUGGUCUAACAAGGCCUUUGGAGGUGUUCCCUUCCUUCUCCCACCCCUUGGUUUUUGUUGUUUCUUCUGUGUGGAGUGCUCUUUGCUCUGCCCAUCCACCAUCUUCACCUUGCUAACUCCUGCAGUCCUACAGAUGCAACUCAUACCUUCCUUCUCUAGUACAUCCCAUGGUUAUAAUUUUUUUAAAAGAUUUUAUUUAUGUACUUGAGAGAGAGAGAAGAGUGAGAGAGAGAGCAUGAGAGGGGAAAGAGUCAGAGGGAGAAGCAGACUCCCUGCUGAGCAAGGUGCCUAAUGCAGGACUCCCAGGACUCCUGGCACCCCACAGUUAUAAUUUAAAUUUGGAUUAAUGUUGACUUGUAACUCUAAGCCCCAUGAAGGCAGGAAACUUGUCUGUUUUUGCUCUACUAUAUCUCCAUGAAAUACUGAGUAUUUUUAAUAUAUUACAUAACAUAAAUACUAUUUUAAAAUGUGUGAAAGUCUGGAUUUACAAGAUUCUCCACUCUAGCCCCUUGUCUGAGGGUUGGAGAAUAUCACCCCCCCAAAACAUUUCACAACACAAACAUGUUUUAAGGAGGGGAUGCUUUGCAAUCAAUAUCAUGUAAAUAAGCAUACAUCUUAUUAUACUUAUAAAUAAGUAUAAUUAAGUCUUUGGUUCAGCCAGUCAGUGGCAGAUAGUAUCUUAUAUCAUAGCAUAUUGAGGCCUGGAGCAAGGACUGCAUAAUGCUCGUCUGUGUUGUUUUUUUUUUUUUUUAAACCUAUAAUCAAUAUAUGCAAAGUAUUUCAGGGAGAUUUUAGAAGCUUUUUAUUUGCUAUGAAGGUAUCCGGUUUGCAGCUGUUGGGUUCAAUAGAGCAGAAUUGGGAGUACUAGUAUGGUGGUGGCGUGAGGCGUGCUGAGAAGUUUGUCUUAUCCAACCAGAUGGCAAGAGGUGCUUCAGGAAUUCUCCACAGUAGAUCCAGACCUGGAUACAGAUCUCUGCAAGAUUGCUCUGUUCAAUUGUGCAUAUCCCCUUUGAGGGGAGAAGUGUGUGUUUCUAUGAGAGUGAAACAUUUUUAUUGUGAAAUUCUUAAAGGCUACCAAAAAGUACAGCAAAUGAUGUUGAAAGGACCUGU